AUGACUGGCGGCGGCCUACACAUGCAAGUCGAGCGGUUGACGGGAGCUUGCUCCCUGAUUCAGCGGCGGACGGGUGAGUAAUGCCUAGGAAUCUGCCUAUUAGUGGGGGACAACGUUUCGAAAGGAACGCUAAUACCGCAUACGUCCUACGGGAGAAAGCAGGGGACCUUCGGGCCUUGCGCUAAUAGAUGAGCCUAGGUCGGAUUAGCUAGUUGGUGGGGUAAUGGCUCACCAAGGCGACGAUCCGUAACUGGUCUGAGAGGAUGAUCAGUCACACUGGAACUGAGACACGGUCCAGACUCCUACGGGAGGCAGCAGUGGGGAAUAUUGGACAAUGGGCGAAAGCCUGAUCCAGCCAUGCCGCGUGUGUGAAGAAGGUCUUCGGAUUGUAAAGCACUUUAAGUUGGGAGGAAGGGCAGUAAAUUAAUACUUUGCUGUUUUGACGUUACCGACAGAAUAAGCACCGGCUAACUCUGUGCCAGCAGCCGCGGUAAU
rnacentral:rRNA from 1 species